CAAGAGCUGCCGCUCACUGAUUGUUAGUCAGAACUAUCGAAAGCCAUGCUCAGCUGCAUCCAGUCGGAAGCUGACGACUCAAGUUCUCUAGACAGCAGAUAUAUGCAGAGUAAGUGUUGAAUUCGUAUAGCACUGGAUGCAAUCCCGUGGGGUACGCGAGCCCCUGGCAUAAGACGUCCGCUCAUGGCACGAGAGGGCGGCGUAGCCGACAGGAUUUGAUACCCGUGGUAUUUCCCACUCGUAAACGACAUCCUGGUAUGAGUUUUCCUCGUCUUGAAACAACUGUGAGUUUGGAAAGUUACACAAUUAGGUUGCUCGGCUGGGGGAGAAGGGGCUUCAAAGUUAAAAUUCAAAAUGAACUGGCGGGGGGCCCUCCCCACCGGUUAGAGCAAUUGAUUCUAUGACACGCCAGAGUAACAACCUUUCCUUACUCUUAACUACCCCGGAACUCUUCCGGGAAGUAGGGUGACCGAUCAGUUACAUUAAGACAUGUCCUUUCUGGCCUGCCUCAACUCGUUUUGAAAAAAUAAGGCCUUUAUUGCCGAAACGAACAUCGACCCAUCUGCUUUUUUCCCCAGUGCGUAAUGUUCGGGCACUCCUGGGAGCCGGCGGGGUAUAAACCGGGGGUCAGUGGGGGGGGAGGCUGAGCAACCACGGCCCUCACGAGGGGGGUCGUCACCCGGGUGACAAAUGCGAGUACAGAGGAUUGCAUACCCCCGAGGUGGAGCCAAUCUCAAAAAGCUCGUAGUAGUCCGUAUUGGAGUCUGCAACUGGACUCCAUGAAGUCGGAAUCGCUAGUAAUCGAGGAUCAGAAUGCCACGGGGAAUACGUUCCCGGGCCUUGUACACACCGCCCGUCACACCAUGGGAGUGGUCUGCAAAAGAAGUGGGUAGCUUAACCUUCGGGGGGGCGCUCACCACUUUGUGGUUCAGACAGGGGCGAAGUCGAACAAGGUAACCA
rnacentral:rRNA from 1 species